rnacentral:rRNA from 1 species
AUUGAACGCUGGCGGCAUGCUUUACACAUGCAAGUCGAACGGCAGCACGGACUUCGGUCUGGUGGCGAGUGGCGAACGGGUGAGUAAUACAUCGGAACGUACCCAGUAAUGGGGGAUAACUAUCCGAAAGGAUAGCUAAUACCGCAUACGCCCUACGGGGGAAAGAGGGGGAUCGCAAGACCUCUUGUUAUUGGAGCGGCCGAUGGCUGAUUAGCUAGUUGGUGAGGUAAAGGCUCACCAAGGCGACGAUCAGUAGCGGGUCUUAGAGGACAAUCCGCCACACUGGAACUGCGACACGGUCCAGACUCCUACGGGAGGCAGCAGUGGGGAAUCUUGGACAAUGGGCGCAAGCCUGAUCCAGCAAUGCCGCGUGCGUGAAGAAGGCCUUCGGGUUGUAAAGCGCUUUUGUCAGGGAGCAAAUCCUUGUGGCUAAUACCCACCGGGGAUGAGAGUGCCUGAAGAAUAAGGACCGGCUAACUACGUGCCAGCAGCCGCCGUAA